CGCGCCGCAUCUUUCGAAAUAUUUUGUUAAAAAUAGCAAAGAUACACAACAAUUACUGAUAUUUCAUUAUAUAUGUAUUCGAGUAGAUGACGUCACAUGGUUACAAACAAAAUGAAAUAUCUCAAGAGCUAAGCAUGGGAACAAAAAUCUUCAAAACAAGUUAUUAUACAGUUUUACGAGCACUUUCGUUUAAGAAAAUAAAAAUCAUACUGCCCCUUUAAUCUAUGAAAUGUUCCCUUGAUUUUUAGUUUUCAUUAUUCUUUCUUUUUUUCCGCCACAAUCCAUAUAUAACGAACUGCAGGUUAGUGCAGCUUUACGCCAAAACCUAGAGGGCUCGACGAUGCAUGAUUUCGAAUGGAGAUAAUCUGCAGGCAAACUAGUAAACAUUCGAGAAUUCAGCGUAUAAAAUUACAGCAAAUUUUUAGACGUGUCAGCGAGAGGUCUUCUAGAACGAUAGUGGUUUAAUUGAAUACUAUCACGACCAACUCCAAAAACGGAUAAUAAUGUCAUUGCAGCCAUACAAUAUUUCACUGUCAUCAUACAAUAUUUCACUGCCCUUGAUUUCGAUGACAGAAUUUCGAUAGAUUAAGCUUUCAGAGUUACACAAACACGAACCAUCAGACUAACAUGUUGUUGAGCUUGUAGGCACACUGGCAUCGUUUUUACAACCAUCUUUCCCAACACGGAAGCUGUCUGUAAUAUUUCGAUUGACCAAAACCACUUCACAACCAGUCAUAAUUAUUUGCACGACAAACAAUUAACCCACACUAACACCACUGUGUGUUUUAAAGACAUAUAUACCAAAUACCAGUGACAACAUUGGAAAUAAACACAAAUACC